rnacentral:rRNA from 1 species
GACGAACGCUGGCGGCGUGCUUAACACAUGCAAGUCACGGGGGCCCGCAAGGGUAACCGGCGAACGGGUGCGUAACACGUGAACAAUCUGCCUAGAUGUGGGGGAUAGCCGGCCCAACGGCCGGGUAAUACCGCAUACGCUCACCGAGUGGCAUCGCUUGGUGAGGAAACCUCCGGGGCAUCUAGAGGAGUUCGCGGCCUAUCAGCUAGUUGGUGGGGUAACGGCCUACCAAGGCGAUGACGGGUAGCUGGUCUGAGAGGAUGGCCAGCCACAUUGGGACUGAGAUACGGCCCAGACUCCUACGGGAGGCAGCAGUGGGGAAUAUUGCGCAAUGGCCGAAAGGCUGACGCAGCGACGCCGCGUGGGGGAUGAAGCAUUUCGGUGUGUAAACCCCUGUUGCCCGGGACGAACAACUGGAUUCUUCCAGUCUGACGGUACCGGGUGAGGAAGCACCGGCUAACUCCGUGCCAGCAGCCGCGGUAAU